rnacentral:rRNA from 1 species
AGUGAACGCUGGCGGUAGGCCUAACACAUGCAAGUCGAACGGCAGCACAGUAAGAGCCUGCUCUUACGGGUGGCGAGUGGCGGACGGGUGAGGAAUACAUCGGAAUCUACUUUUUCGUGGGGGAUAACGUAGGGAAACUUACGCUAAUACCGCAUACGACCUACGGGUGAAAGCAGGGGAUCUUCGGACCUUGCGCGAUUGAAUGAGCCGAUGUCGGAUUAGCUAGUUGGCGGGGUAAAGGCCCACCAAGGCGACGAUCCGUAGCUGGUCUGAGAGGAUGAUCAGCCACACUGGAACUGAGACACGGUCCAGACUCCUACGGGAGGCAGCAGUGGGGAAUAGUGGACAAUGGGCGCAAGCCUGAUCCAGCCAUACCGCGUGGGUGAAGAAGGCCUUCGGGUUGUAAAGCCCUUUUGUUGGGAAAGAAAAGCAGCAGGUUAAUACCCCGCUGUUCUGACGGUACCCAAAGAAUAAGCACCGGCUAACUUCGUG